rnacentral:rRNA from 1 species
CAGCAGCCGCGGGAAUACGUAGGGUGCAAGCGUUAAUCGGAAUUACUGGGCGUAAAGCGUGCGCAGGCGGUUAUAUAAGACAGAUGUGAAAUCCCCGGGCUCAACCUGGGAACUGCAUUUGUGACUGUAUAGCUAGAGUACGGCAGAGGGGGAUGGAAUUCCGAGUGUAGCAGUGAAAUGCGUAGAUAUGCGGAGGAACACCGAUGGCGAAGGCAAUCCCCUGGGCCUGUACUGACGCUCAUGCACGAAAGCGUGGGGAGCAAACAGGAUUAGAUACCCCGCGUAGUCCCUGUCUCUUAUA